UACGUAGGGUGCGAGCGUUAAUCGGAAUAACUGGGCGUGAAGGGUGCGCAGGCGGGUUUGCAAGACAGAUGUGAAAGCCCCAGGCUUAACCUGGGAACUGCAUUUGUGACUGCAAGUCUAGAGUAUGGCAGAGGGAGGUGGAAUUCCAUGUGUAGCAGUGAAAUGCGUAGAGAUAUGGAGGAACACCGAUGGCGAAGGCAGCCUCCUGGGCCAAUACUGACGCUGAGGUGCGAAAGCGUGGGGAGCAAACAGG
rnacentral:rRNA from 1 species